rnacentral:rRNA from 1 species
UACGUAGGUGACAAGCGUUGUCCGGAUUUACUGGGCGUAAAGAGCGCGCAGGCGGUCGAUCAAGUCCGAGUGUGAAAGGCCCCCGGCUCAACUGGGGAGGGUCAUUCGAUACUGAUCGACUCGAAGGCAGGAGAGGGUAGUGGAAUUCCCGGUGUAGUGGUGAAAUGCGUAGAUAUCGGGAGGAACACCAGUGGCGAAGGCGACUACCUGGCCUGUUCUUGACGCUGAGGCGCGAAAGCUAGGGGAGCAAACGGG